UGAUUGACACGUCUGCAGAUAGA
rnacentral:miRNA from 1 species